AGGGAUUAACUGUCAGUGAUGUUUUGGUGGCAUUGGGAAUUAAUGUACGGGUGUUUGGGUAUCAGCUUUUGAAAUCGAUUAUGCACUCAAAAUCGAUUCAUGGUGGAAACUGAUUAUUGUUUGUAGAUUCCACGGCGGUGAUUUAGACUGACGGUGUUGUUAUUUUACUAAAUUUAUCUCUUUUCUGGUUAUUUCUUGCAUAACCGACAUACUCAGCAAGGUGUUCAAAGUUGUUAGAAGUUGAAGUUAAAACUUGCUUAAAAAAAUAAUAAUUAAUUGCACUUCAUCUCUAUUUUAUAAACUCAGAAAAAUUGUCCCCUAUUUUAAAAUUGAAUUUUUUUUAUCUCUAUUUUUACAUUUUUUGCAAUUUUUG
rnacentral:lncRNA from 1 species